ensembl:lncRNA
GUUACAAGUAAAUAAUGAUUUUUUUAUUCAUCUUUUUUUGUUUAAAAAAAAAGUUGUUAAUGUUGCUGUGCCCCCAGGGGUUCAUUGUACUUUGAACUAAAAAUAAUAUUCAGAUGAAAGCUGACUACUUGUCAAGAAACCUAGCAAGAUUUCUCAAGUAAUUUUUUUGGAAGGGCAACAAGGUUUUUGAAAGAUGUUAACAUUUUUUUAUUAACAUUUUUUCAUUGUAACAGAGUUCAUUGAACCAUUCUUGAGAGAUUUUCUUUAACCCUUAAAUAUUACACUUUAUGUUGGUACAACCUAAAAAUACUGAAGAGGGAGGAAUAAAGUCUACAACUUUGUACAAGCCUGAAGCAUCCUUCCAGAUCUGUAGCACUGAUGCUAAACUUGAUGGGUUCCUUCUCUUUAGCUUAAGCAUUAUGUUUAGCUUGAGAUGGUCUAGCCGUGAAAGUAGUUCAUCUUGUACUCUCUUACACUGGAUAGUGAUUAGCCAUUCUGAAAAUAGAACAUCUUUAUCUGGGAGUCCUGUGUUAAGUCUUUAAAAACAAAACCUAGGGGCAGGGAUUUACCUCAGUGGCGCCUUGCCUGCCUCGAAAGUGCAAGGUCCUGAGUUCGAUCCCUGGUACCAAAAAAAAAAAACAACCUGGGUUUGUCAAUUCAUAAGAGAUGUUUUAAGACAAAACUGCCCAAAGGCUUAAGUUUUGUUACCUUUCACAGUUUAAUCUGUAUAAGAAAUGGCAUAGAUACAGUGGAAAUGGUUCUCCUUCAAAUCAUCUCUUUUAAAGCUGCUUUUCUGGUGAGUACUAUCCUGUACUUCUAUGUAUCACCAUUUUUACCUUUUAAAAUUAACUGAAAUCGGACUGAAGAGGUGAGCAAUCUGAAUUUCAUGAUGUCCUUGGAUAUUACUUGCAUUAGGAAUCUUAGAAUGAUUAUUUUACCACCACACAUUUCCCCUACUUCUGCUUUACUUUUUCCCAACCUUCACUUAAUAAAAUAUAUAUACAAACUCAUAAGGCUUAAGGUUUUCCUUUUAGUUGGUAGCCAAAUGAUUUUUCUCAUUGCUUUUAAUUCUUGCAUAAUUUAAAAUACCAGAACUUCUUUGUGUCCUUAUUAAAGCUGACAUUGCAGUGACUCUUGACUAAUUCAGUUGGGAAAGAGGAGGGUUCAUCAAAAUUGGUCGUGCAGACCAAUUGAUUAUAAGGUUCUCUUUAAGUCUUAGUUUUCAAGUGUGUUAUUUCAUAAAUUAUUCAAAUUCUUUGGUUAAAUAUAUUGGUUUCUGGGACUUGUGUAUACCCAUAAAAAUUAGCCUUUGAGUGUUUAUGCCCUGUUUUAUCCUUAACAUGUACAACACAAGGAUUUCUUUCCCUCUGGUUUUUAGCCACAUUCCAGAUGAUGUCAAUAGAGUUUAAAGCUGUUCUCACAUUGUUUUCUGCUUAAUCUUUGUGAAUCUGUAAACUCUCAUGCUUUUUCAUAUAAGCAGUCAUAGUUUGCUAAAUAAAUAUGAAAUUAAUAAUCUUGAGUAUGUGAUACAGUAAUGUUCUUUUAGAUAAACACUCAAAGUAUGAACCCUCAAUUUGUGUCUUAAGAUUUAAUGGAAAGUAAGUUCUAAGGAACUGUGUCCUUUCCUAGCAGGAAAAACCAGACUGAAAAACUGCUUUUUUCAGGGUAGAAAUAAGUGGCUGUCAAAAGAAAAUAUCAAGAAGAUUACUUAAAUAUCUUCGUUUAAAACCCAGUAAUGACUUUCAGUUUACUUAAAUCUUCUGUUUUUCAGCUCUGGUUAAAACUGACACUAGGCAGCUGAUCAAAAUUUAAAAACUCAUUGUACUUUUUGUGGAAUAUUUUAGGAAUUAGUGCAUAAUUGUAAAAUGGCAUUAAGCUAUACUUGAUUUACAUAGAGGCUGUGGUUUUAAGGGAGAAAAAUUUGUUUAAAUUUGGAGACCUCAACCCUAAUGUACUAAUAAUUAAGAUAAUAGAGAUUAGGAGACCUCAACCCUAAUGUACUAAUAAUUAAGAUAAUAGAGAUUAAAGUGAAAAGUUUUUAUUUGGUGCAGCCAUGAAACAUGAUUAUUGGUCCUUUUUAAAAAUCAACCCAGUAUAACAUCUAUUUUAUGAAGUGAUACAAGAUCCCAGAGGGUUGUUAGAAAAGAGGGAGCCUGUCUCUUAAUUUAGUCUCAAGGCUUUACUCUCAGCCUUUAUUUUGUGAAGGAAUGCAGUAAAGAAUAAGUAACCAUAUUUGAACAAUAUGGUUGUAAGAAGUACCUUAACAGCACAUGGGGAGGAUAAAUGGCUAGUCUGAAAGUAUGAUUUAAAUGGUCUAGCUACCCAAAAAUCUUCCCUUAAAGCAUUUUUUAUGUAUCUGUAUUAGCUCAAUAAAGGUUGUAAUUACUAGCUUUUAAAUUUUAUCAGCAUUAAAGGUAUAAUACAUGGAUUAUGUGAGAGUUUUAAUUUUUCUUAUGCAAGUAAUGUUAGUACAUCCCUUCACUUGGUUAAAUAACUAGAAGCUUUUGGAAAACAAAACGAGAAAAUCACAUUUGCAGUAUAUAUGUAAGUUUAAUUUUUGUCCACCAAUAGAUUUUUUUUUUUUUUGGUACCAGGGAUCUAACUCAAGACCUUGUGCUUGUGAGGUAGGUGCAGUGCCUCUGAGCUAAAUCCCUUGCCCUGAGAGAUUUUCUUUUCUUUUUUCUUUUUUUUUUUUGUACCAGGGAUCCAACUAAGGACCUUGUGCUUGGAAGGCAGGCGACAGCACCACUGAGCUAUAUCCCCAGCCCCCGAGAUAUUUUCUUUAUGCAGUCAUACACUAAUUAGAUUAGAACUCAUGAAAGGACAUUGAAAUUGUUUUUCAUUUUUACAGUGCCCUAGGCACUGUUUAUUAGGCUUUUAAGUAAGCCAAAACUAAUGAAUAGUGAUUUCAUUAUCCAGUGAUUUUUAGUUUGUUAGAGAAUUACAAGUUUUACUUGGGCAUUAUUAAAAGUCAGUUUCUUUUUUUACGAGGAAAGGGUGGACUAUCUCCGUCAUUCAUUAACCUUUGAG